GUAAUAUUAAGUGCUGCUAAUGGGGCAAGAUCCGAGGCCUUGCAAAGGAUUACACGGGCUUCCUAUUCCUGCUCCACCGUAUAUCAAAGCUUGGGUAAACGGGCCAGUCCUAACCCCUUGGCCGGAUGGUGGAGAACGGUUGAACAGGAGGAG
rnacentral:ribozyme from 1 species